AUACCUUUCUCGGCCUUUUGGCUAAGAUCAAGUGUAGUAUCUGUUCUUAUCAGUUUAAUAUCUGAUAGUCCGAGCCUACGGGUUCGGGGGGCAAACUUAUAGGUAGGUAUAUGCUUGCCUUGAUAUUAAUUUUUUUAUAGGGGAAGGGGUCCUUAAUAUAGUAGCUUGCUACUUAGGAUUCCUUAUGCGUCACCCUAA
rnacentral:snRNA from 1 species